CCUACGGGGGGCAGCAGUGAGGAAUAUUGGUCAAUGGACGAGAGUCUGAACCAGCCAAGUAGCGUGAAGGAUGACUGCCCUAUGGGUUGUAAACUUCUUUUAUAAAGGAAUAAAACGCGGCACGUGUGCCUUUUUGCAUGUACUUUAUGAAUAAGGAUCGGCUAACUCCGUGCCAGCAGCCGCGGUAAUACGGAGGAUCCGAGCGUUAUCCGGAUUUAUUGGGUUUAAAGGGAGCGUAGAUGGGUUGUUAAGUCAGUUGUGAAAGUUUGCGGCUCAACCGUAAAAUUGCAAUUGAUACUGGCAGUCGUGAGUACAGUUGAGGUAGGCGGAAUUCGUGGUGUAGCGGUGAAAUGCUUAGAUAUCACGAAGAACCCCGAUUGCGAAGGCAGCUUACUAAACUGUGACUGACAUUGAUGCUCGAAAGUGUGGGUAUCAAACAGGAUUAGAUACCCCAGUAGUC
rnacentral:rRNA from 1 species